UGCAACCUGAACUCAGAUGUGAUUACCCGCUGAACUUAAGCAUAUCAUUUAGCGGAGGAAAAGAAACUAACAAGGAUUCCCUUAGUAACGGCGAGUAAGGGCGAAUUCG
rnacentral:rRNA from 1 species